rnacentral:rRNA from 1 species
UGGGGAAUAUUGCACAAUGGGCGCAAGCCUGAUGCAGCCAUGCCGCGUGUAUGAAGAAGGCCUUCGGGUUGUAAAGUACUUUCAGUCGGGAGGAAGGUGGUAAGGUUAAUAACCUUGGCAAUUGACGUUACCGACAGAAGAAGCACCGGCUAACUCCGUGCCAGCAGCCGCGGUAAUACGGAGGGUGCAAGCGUUAAUCGGAAUUACUGGGCGUAAAGCGCACGCAGGCGGUUGAUUGAGUCAGAUGUGAAAUCCCCGGGCUUAACCCGGGAAUUGCAUCUGAUACUGGUCAGCUAGAGUCUUGUAGAGGGGGGUAGAAUUCAAUGUGUAGCGGUGAAAUGCGUAGAGAUGUGGAGGAAUACCGGUGGCGAAUGCGGCCCCCUGGACAAAGACUGACGCACAGGUGCGAAAGCGUGGGGAUCAAACAGG